GAUGAACGCUGGCGGCGUGCCUAAUACAUGCAAGUCGAGCGAAUGGAUUAAGAGCUUGCUCUUAUGAAGUUAGCGGCGGACGGGUGAGUAACACGUGGGUAACCUGCCCAUAAGACUGGGAUAACUCCGGGAAACCGGGGCUCAUACCGGAUAACAUUUUGAAACGCAUGGUUCGAAAUUGAAAGGCGGCUUCGGCUGUCACUUAUGGAUGGACCCGCGUCGCAUUAGCUAGUUGGUGAGGUAACGGAUCACCAAGGCAACGAUGCGUGGCCGACCUGAGAGGGUGAUCGGCCACACUGGGACUGAGACACGGCCCAGACUCCUACGGGAGGCAGCAGUAGGGAAUCUUCCGCAAUGGACGAAAGUCUGACGGAGCGACGCCGCGUGAGUGAUGAAGGCUUUCGGGUCGUAAAACUCUGUUGUUAGGGAAGAACAAGUGCUAGUUGAAUAAGCUGGCACCUUGACGGUACCUAACCAGAAAGCCACGGCUAACUACGUGCCAGCAGCCGCAGUAA
rnacentral:rRNA from 1 species